GUUACAUUAUUAUUUUUUAAAUUAUUGUUUAAUUUUUAAAUUAAUAUUUAUUUAUUUUAAAGGAUUUUAUUUUUAAGUAGUCUCUGCACCCAAUGUGGGACUCAAACUUACAAGGUUGAGAUCAAGGGUCACACCCUCUACCAACUGAGCCAGCCAGGCUUCCUUACCUUAUUAUUAUUUUUUUUUUAAACCAAAGGGAUAGAAAAAGUGAGUGUAUCUGUAAUUCAAAAAAAAACCUUGAAACACAGAACAAUAAAGAAUUCCCAAGAGAGUAGAGGUAGAAAACCAGAAAUAUCUCUUUCAGGCAGGUGGAAACUGUCCAGUUUUUGACAAGAAUAGAAUAAAACUGUAAUCUUCAAUUACAUUUUGUAGAAGAAUAUAUAGAGAUGAUUUAUGUGAACCUGGAUAUCGUAUGGAUCAUCUUUGAUUUGACCAUCUGUUUUGAAGAGACUUCACAUAUUGAAGGAGGUAAGUUGAUGAGGAAUAUGAUAUGAUGAUGCCAUAUUCUUCAGCUCCUGUAGCAAGACUUUUGUGUUGCUUUGGGAGUGCAAAGGUAUAAGGUGUUUUUAGAUACAGAAAUAUUAUAGAUUGGGGGGCAUUUUACUGGGUUUGGAGAUGGCAAAAUAGAAAGUUUGGAACUCAGAAUCAUCUCUCUGAGUGCCUGAGUCUUUUAGUAGCUAUAAUCAGAAAACUUUCUUUCAGUUUGGUUUGAGAGAAGUCAGAUAGGCUGAGUAGAAGUUUCCUCUGAUGUUGGUUUCUUAAUAAAAAUUUGGCUUCUUGAGACA
rnacentral:lncRNA from 1 species